rnacentral:rRNA from 1 species
UGCGCAGGCGGGCUUGUAAGUCAGUGGUGAAAUACUGCCGCUUAACGGUAGAACUGCCAUUGAUACUGCGAGUCUUGAAUAUGGUUGAGGUAGGCGGAAUGUGUUGUGUAGCGGUGAAAUGCAUAGAUAUGACACAGAACGCCAAUUGCGAAGGCAGCUUACUAAGCCAUUAUUGACGCUGAGGCACGAAAGCGUGGGAAGCGAACAGGAUUAGAUACCCUGGUAGUCC